GCUAUAGGGCAGCAUACACAUGCAGUCGAGCGGGGAGAUGUAGCUUGCUACAUUUCCUAGCGGCGGACGGGUGAGUAAUGCUUAGGAAUCUGCCUAUUAGUGGGGGACAACAUUCCGAAAGGAAUGCUAAUACCGCAUACGCCCUACGGGGGAAAGCAGGGGAUCUUCGGACCUUGCGCUAAUAGAUGAGCCUAAGUCAGAUUAGCUAGUUGGUGGGGUAAAGGCCUACCAAGGCGACGAUCUGUAGCGGGUCUGAGAGGAUGAUCCGCCACACUGGGACUGAGACACGGCCCAGACUCCUACGGGAGGCAGCAGUGGGGAAUAUUGGACAAUGGGCGCAAGCCUGAUCCAGCCAUGCCGCGUGUGUGAAGAAGGCCUUUUGGUUGUAAAGCACUUUAAGCGAGGAGGAGGCUACUUGGAUUAAUACUCUAGGAUAGUGGACGUUACUCGCAGAAUAAGCACCGGCUAACUCUGUGCCAGCAGCCGCGGUAAUACAGAGGGUGCGAGCGUUAAUCGGAUUUACUGGGCGUAAAGCGUGCGUAGGCGGCUUUUUAAGUCGGAUGUGAAAUCCCUGAGCUUAACUUAGGAAUUGCAUUCGAUACUGGGAAGCUAGAGUAUGGGAGAGGAUGGUAGAAUUCCAGGUGUAGCGGUGAAAUGCGUAGAGAUCUGGAGGAAUACCGAUGGCGAAGGCAGCCAUCUGGCCUAAUACUGACGCUGAGGUACGAAAGCAUGGGGAGCAAACAGGAUUAGAUACCCUGGUAGUCCAUGCCGUAAACGAUGUCUACUAGCCGUUGGGGCCUUUGAGGCUUUAGUGGCGCAGCUAACGCGAUAAGUAGACCGCCUGGGGAGUACGGUCGCAAGACUAAAACUCAAAUGAAUUGACGGGGCCCGCACAAGCGGUGGAGCAUGUGGUUUAAUUCGAUGCAACGCGAAGAAC
rnacentral:rRNA from 2 species